rnacentral:rRNA from 1 species
AUUGAACGCUGGCGGCAUGCUUUACACAUGCAAGUCGAACGGCAGCGCGGGUUUCGGCCUGGCGGCGAGUGGCGAACGGGUGAGUAAUACAUCGGAACGUGCCCAGUAGUGGGGGAUAGCUCGGCGAAAGCCGGAUUAAUACCGCAUACGACCUGAGGGUGAAAGCGGGGGAUCUUCGGACCUCGCGCUAUUGGAGCGGCCGAUGGCAGAUUAGCUAGUUGGUGGGGUAAAGGCCUACCAAGGCGACGAUCUGUAGCUGGUCUGAGAGGACGACCAGCCACACUGGGACUGAGACACGGCCCAGACUCCUACGGGAGGCAGCAGUGGGGAAUUUUGGACAAUGGGCGAAAGCCUGAUCCAGCAAUGCCGCGUGUAUGAUGAAGGCCUUCGGGUUGUAAAGCACUUUUGGCGGGAACGAAAAGGACUGUGCCAAUACCACGGUUCGAUGACGGUACCCGCAGAAUAAGCACCGGCUAACUACGUG